UCAGCCUCCCAAGUAGCUGGGACUACAGGCAUGCACAACCAUGCCUAGCUAAUUUUUGUAAAAAAAAAAAAAAAAAAAAAAAUCACUUUUUUAUACUUCUGUUAAAAUAGAUAAUAAGGGACCAUAUUUUAAAGUGUGAAGGAUCUGGCUUGGCUUCUGCUUUUGAUAGCCCUAUGAAAGUGACAAGUGUGGCAUCGUGAGACUUCUGGGAUGAAUUGGGAAAUUGAAGGGCAGCCUUGUGUCUGUGAAUUCUGUUUUCUAUGAGACAGUCUAUACCAGGCUUUAUCUUCUCUUUGCUCAGAUAACUUCUGACCUAGAGUUGACUGUAGGAGUAUAAAUAGUUUAAAAUACGUGUUCUUAAAACCUAAUUUUCAGCAUAUAAAUUUUUAAGAAUCAGUGUUUAUCAAAGGUGCAUGAAGCCAUUUUCCAGAGUUUUGUCAUAGUUUUUUUUGAUUUAAAAAUCUUGUUUUUUUUUUUUUUUUUUUUUGUUAGCUUUAAAUGUCCAGUAGUUUAUUUGCAGACGGCAUUUUAAAAAAGUGAAUAGAUGUUAACCUGAAGAUAAAUAUAGAUUUAUGUCUGUGUAACUCUUGGUAAGAUAUAACAAAACCUACAAGUCUAAAUUUUUUGGAAAUUUCUAUUUUAAAAGUUGGUUGGGAGAUAAAAUUGUGUGACUUUACUUUCUGGUUAAUAGUUUUAUAGUUAAGAAGCAAGUGUGGUGAAGUUUACUUGAUCUUAGCUCACUCAAGAAUAGGCAGGGUAUUUAGUUCCACUUUGGUUAUUUUCACUUCUACCCUGAAUUCGUAGUCCCUGAUACUUAAGCUUUGCCCUUGGCUUACCAGUUUUUGUUGUAGUGAGAUAAAUGGGGAGUAGUAGAGCCUUUGUUAAUGUAAAUUGACAAAAAAUUACAUCCUUUUCUAUCAGGAGUAGAUAAACUGAUUAUGGGCUUAGAAAUGUACAAAAUGAUUUUCUGUAGAUAGGAUGAUCUGAAGCCAUGAGUCCACUAGACAGGAGAAACUUUGCUGUUUAAAAUGAAAGGUCAUUUAGGAUCUGGAAUAAUUUGCUAAAAAAAUGAAAUGUCAGUUCAUAGCAUUGUAGCAAAUGUUGAUACACAGUCACAACAAAGUAAUGCCACUACAUUUAAUAAGCAGCCACGAACAACAGAAGGACAACCGGUCCCUGAUAUGAAUGGACUGGCUACCUGAACAUAACAUUCUUGUGAGGCAUCCUUAAAGGACAAAUUGCAGCUGGUAUCGGGGCAAAUGUUGCUCUGUGUCUGUUGAAUGUCCACGCUACAAGAAGUUAUGAGCCUUGUUCUGAGUACAAAUGAACCUUGUAUUUGUGUCAUCUCCUAAGAGAGAGGUAUAGUUUACAUUCAAUUUUUUGGUCUUUCUGCUAUGAAAGGUGUUUAUUUUGCCUCUGUCAAUGUGUUUGCUUGACUUAGCAACCUUAAGUAAGGAAAGGAAAAAAACAGCCCUCUGAACUCUGAUCUUUUGCUACUUCUGUUAUUUUUUAUUGUGAAGUUGGGAGUGAGGACAUUCAAAAGCCCAUGUUGAAUUUAUAUACCUUUAGAAUAUUGUGCUUGUUUUAAAAUGAUGAGCUUUUAAAACACUUUGUUUAAACAUGAGUCCAUUUUUGUAAUUGUAUGAAUACUCAUAACUAAUUUUGAAUGCCAUUGAUUGUGUAACUGAAUUCUUGUAUCCAAAAACACAUUCUUGAGUACUACUUUUCCUAUCUUGAAAAUCUAUUUCAUUUAAUAAAUAUUGUUUUCUUUAUGCUAACUUAACUUUAAAAAGAAUGUUGCUGUCUCUCCCCUAUCACGAUUGUUAUUUUUUUGCUUUUUUCUUCAAUAAAUGAUAGCAUUAUGAUCUUUAA